GCUACUUGAAGAGAGGUUAUCCUUUGUGUGUUUGCUUUACGCGAAAUGAAUAUGCAAGGCCAAGCUCUCUUCGAGGAGC
rnacentral:pre_miRNA from 1 species